rnacentral:tRNA from 1 species
GCUGAUAUGGCGCAGUUGGUAGAGCGCACCCUUGGUAAGGGUGAGGUCCCCAGUUCGACUCUGGGUAUCAGCACCA